AUUGAACGCUGGCGGCAGGCCUAACACAUGCAAGUCGAGCGGAGAGGAGGACGGGUGAGUAAUGCAUAGGAAUAUGCCUGGUAGUGGGGGAUAACGUCCGGAAACGGGCGCUAAUAACGCAGACUAUCAGAUGAGACUAGGUCGGAUUAGCUAGUUGGUGGGGUAAAGGCCUACCAAGGAGACGAUCCGUAACUGGUCUGAGAGGAUGAUAAGGCACACUGGAACUGAGACACGGUCCAGACUCCUACGGGAGGCAGCAGUGGGGAAUAUUGGACAAUGGGCGAAAGCCUGAUCCAGCCAUGCCGCGUUUGUGAAGAAGGUCUUCGGAUUGUAAAGCACUUUAAGUUGGGAGGCGUUACCAACAGAAUAAGCACCGGCUAACUUCGUGCCAGCAGCCGCGGUAAUUC
rnacentral:rRNA from 1 species